GACGAACGCUGGCGGCGUGCUUAACACAUGCAAGUCGAGCGAUGAGAGCCUUAUGAACUAUUCGUAGUGAUUGGGGCCGGAUUAGCGGCGGACGGGUGAGUAACGCGUGAGCAACCUGCCUUAAACAACGGGAUAGCCUCGGGAAACCGGGAUUAAUACCGUAUGAGACCCCGCCUUCACAUGAAGAAGAGGUUAAAGAUUUAUCGGUUUAAGAUGGGCUCGCGUCUGAUUAGCUAGUUGGUGAGAUAAAAGCCCACCAAGGCAACGAUCAGUAACCGGGUGGGGAGAGUGAACGGUCACAUUGAAACUGAGACACGGUCCAAACUCCUACGGGAGGCAGGAGUGGGGAAUAUUGCACAAUGGGGGAAACCCUGAUGCAGCGACGCCGCGUGAGCGAUGAAGGAAUUCGUUUCGUAAAGCUCUGUCCAAGGGGAAGAUAAUGACAGUACCCUUGGAGGAAGCCCCGGCUAAAUACGUGCCAGCCGCCGCCGUAACAC
rnacentral:rRNA from 1 species